UCACAUUCCAAAGUUGUCAAUUUCACGAUAGAAGGAUACUGACAUUUGAAUAACUUUAAGAGAAAGAAACAACAGCGGAAAGCUUCAAAUCAAGGGCAAGAAAAUGGCGGCAAAUAUCACAAAUUGUUGUUAACGACUUGAUGGACUCCUUGAUGUAAAUGCAGCUAAAAAUAAAAAAGAAGCGACGAAGGGAGAAAAUUAUACUGUUUAUUGGAAUAUCAGCAAUGCAAGGGCUCUUUAUUGCAUGGAAUUGUAUCGAAACAAAAAAACUAUAAAGUCAGAUGCUGCUGCUGACUGGAAAUCUCUUAAAGCAUCUACCGUCCACAAAACCGCUGUUACUAUAAAAUGCACUGCAUGAUGACGAUACACAAUAUUUCAUAUGCUGAUGAUGCAAGUGAAUAUGUUAUGAAAGUGACAUACCUUUAUCGCAAUCCAUUACGAGAAAUAAAAGAAUCACAUUAAUGUUAAAGGUAUAAUAUACUGUGUUACUGUUACGCAACUUCCAUAUGUUCCUGAAUAAUGUAAGUUAAUUUUUUUGUUUAUAUGUUUAUCGGACUUGAAUAGUUACUCAAAUAAUAUUGUCUUCCAGUGGUUGGAACACCUAGCCUGCAAAGUCAGUUAAAUAAGCAUACUUGUAUCCAUUGCCACAUUGCCAUUUUUUAUAAAACGCGGCCAGUUACUCACUUUUUCCUUUAUUGCAGAGCUAAGCCAGCGAGGGAAGCCCAUUUGCCAUUUAAAGGAGCGUCAAUAUUUCUUACCAGGGAACAUUUUCUAAAACUUAGUCAGUUGUCCACUUAUGACUUUUAGUUAAUUUCCACUUAUCACCUGAAGAUUAAGGAGAUUUUUUCCUACUGGCGUAUUUUCAAGAAAAUAUUUAUGGGAAAAUAUUUGUCUGUUUCUUCAUUUUGCGAACUGCGGCUAAAGUGACUCUUCGGCGCGAUAUGUGCAAAUCGAAUUUGAAACUCCAAUACGACGCUAAAAGAAAAAAGAAGGAAAAAUCUGCCAGCAAGAGAAACUGCAGAGGACAGUAAUAAAGUUUUGUCAUUUGAGCAGGGGGCAAUAAAAGAAUAUUAAUAAAAGUUUACCAUUUGUGCGUGUUUUAUGAUGGCUUCUGAAUAAAAGGUAUAGAAAAAACAGUUUGUGCUUUGACAGGGGAAAGCGAAGGAAUUAAAUGAGGUUUGAAUCGAUAUUACUUUAAUUUGCUUAGUUGAAGAACCAGUUCCCUUUUAAUUUAUCAUCUAUAUAGCUAAGUAACAAAUUUUUCCAACAUACUUCUGCUUUUUUAUGCUCUAAAAUAAAACCAUAUAUUUUAUAUUUGGGAUUACGCACCCAGUACCAACAAAACGAUAGUUUUACUAUAGAAAAGUUGUAAAGAAGUUUAGAUUUAUUCGCCUGUAAACAAAAUAUUUAUAACACCCUCUUCUGGAUCCUAUUUUUUUGUUUUGUCUUUUAACUUAAUUUAUUGCAAAAACAACAGGAUGUCAUGUUCACAGUCGUUGACGCAAGCAAGAUAGUUUGAUGUUGUUGGCGUUCUAAUAAAAACACAACAAGGAAGAACAAUUAUGUAGGGAAAACAUAAAUAUUCAGUUUUUGCAAUGUGUAUAUCCUUUUCACUUGCUGAAAAAUGAAUGCCUUUAGAAUAGAUUCACGUUUUUUAUUAACUUGUACAGAACAGAAGUGCUCUACAUCUCUACCCCUAUUGUAACAAGAAACCCUAUUGUAACAAGAAAUCCUGAAGAACUGUGGCCCGCCGUAAAUUAUUAUUAUUACUUGCACUGCCAAGCACAGUUGUUCUCUUGCGAAUAUAGGGGACCUGGUCCUGCCACGCAACCCUUUAUGUAUUGAUAGUGUUUUACCAAACAUAGAUUUGUAAGUCUUCUUUUAGGUCUUUAUGAAUAACAAUGUUCAUUAUAGUUUGUUAACACGCAACUUUAACAAAUUUGGGACACGUCGUGGCUGUUGCUAUUGUUACUUAUUUCUAUUUUUCUUCUCUUCCAAAUUUCGUACUUAAAGUUCUAAUUUUUCUAUGAAAAAUUGUGCCACAAUAAGUUGUGUCGAAUAGGAUGGUAGGCCCAUUUUCAUGCCAGUCAUAUUUUUAAAUGCUAAUUUUGCUUUUACUGCUUCCUUGUUGAGCUUGAAAUCGUCUUCGCUGCCCAAAUGCAACCGUGCAACAUCUCACUCUGCUCCGGUCUCGAUUGGUCAGUUUUUCUGUCAUUUUUCCAUGCGUGAAUUAAAUAAGAGCUAUGCAGGCAUAAUGGCAAAGCCACCGUUGGAAGCCUUUCGUUUAACCAGAUGAAGUAAUGAGAAAACCGCAUAAAAGUAACAGAUAGGGUAAUAUGAAAGUUUAAAUGUGCCUCAUUCAUGUCUGGCUUUGCCUUGAACGUGUUACAGAUUAAGCAUUUUACUGCUAGUUCAGUAUUUAUGCUUUAUACACAGGCGGUAACUGUGUUUAUUAAACUUUAAAUCAGACAUCUAUGUUGUAAAGAAAGAAAUAUCUCCUUUUUGAAACAGUUUUUCCUAUUCCGAGGUUGACGUUACGCCGUUUUGACCUGUUACCUGGUUCCGAAAUAUAUCAUGACGUCACGUAAAACUGGAUGACGUCAUCCAAAUUUUUUGUCCUAUUUCUCCUCCAAUGUUUUGACAAAUUAUUUUUGGAAGCAAAAAUACUAGGCGCGUAAUCACCGUGUUGGCAAAUGUUUUAGAGUUGCUUAUUAUAUUGCACAAAAUGAAAGAUACACAUAAGAAACGUUAUCCUGUAAAUUUUAUUAACAACCAGAACAUGUUCAAAUGUUUCAUAGAAAUAACACCCCAAAUUUCUCUUCGCCUACAGAACCGCCAUUGCAUUUCAAACAUGAUAAAUCAGAUAAAUCAAUCAAAGUUUUUGUGUUACUCUUUAUUAUUUGAACGUUUUAAGUUCAAACUUCUUUGCAACACUGAACUCUUCUUGUUGUUGUUUUGGAAGACAGGUUCGCCUCGCUAGCUGUCUUACUUAUUGAUUAUUUUCCUCUGUUUAAAAAGUUAAUUGUUUCCUUAUAGAGACAAUAUCAGAUCCAGACAAUUACAAUACCUAAAUUUUCAGAAUUUCCCCUUUCAUGCUUUAAAUUUUAAUAUCUCCAUAGUGCUUCAACUAUCUUUAACUUUCACAAUGAGCAUUUUCACGUUGGCUUAUAAUAUGCAAUAAUCCCGGUCAUGCUAAUAAAAAAAAGAGCGUGAUAAGCGUAAACUAUGAUAAUUAAUAACCAUGAGACAAUGCUGUGAUUUCUGCUUUUUGUAUUGUUCUGUUUUGUCUGGUCUCUAAAAACAAUGGCGACUCCAUAAUGGCGAUUUUAUCGAGCUCCACCUCAAUGCUGAUUUAAAAUUACGGCUGUUUGUUUACCUACGGUUUCACACGAUCAUUUUGAGACGGCCCACUUAUUAGACGGGAAUAAGAGAUCAACAAGAUCGUUAAAUUUGGCGGCUGAAAAAAAACAACAAUAAAUGCAAGAUAUUAAAGUGUUAUUAUUUCCCCUUCUAGUAAGUUUUAUAUCCUCAAACUUUUAGGAAAAUCAUAACUCCGUCUGAACAUUGAAAUAAAUAAAAAAUGUAUAUAUUAUUAUUUUUCGAUAAGAGUGAUUACGCGCCUUUAAGACAAGUAUAUUCACUAAAAGCUAGUGGAUUCUUGUGAAAAGAAAAAUGUUUUUUUGAUACUAAAAACUUGUUGUAAUAUAUAAAAGACUUACCGUGCGACGCGAUCUUUUGAUCGUACUAAUUAAAAAGUUUAUUAAGAAAAAGAAAUAUUUUGGUUAAAUUUGUUAAAGAAAAUUUUAAACAAGGGAGAAUAUUGUUAAAAAGAAUAGUUACACUGCUUUUUUGGUCUUGUAUAAUCCGUAAACUGUUUACUAACUGUAAUCAUUGAACAUCUUUUUAUAGUGAUGAACCUUACACGUAGCUAGUGAUCAUUUAAAAUUUGAUAUUUUUGCGAAAAGGUUGUGGAAAACAGUAUGUUUUCAACAUGUACCCAGGGGCGGAUCUAGGAUUUUUUUCUGGUUAGGCAAAAUUUCAUAGAUUUUUUGGCAAAGUAAUGUCAAGGGUUGUGGUGUUGUACGAGGUAAAUCGGCCGUUUUGUGUUUUUGCUGUAAAAGGAACUAAAAUUUUCCCAAAAGUAAGGUUUUUAGUUAUUAAGAAUCCUUCUAGAUUAGAAACGAAAGUUUCUUUAUAGCCAAACAAAUAACAGUAACCCCCGUAGUUUUACCACUUUAUCCUUGUUAAAACAUGCGGAUGGAAAAUGCGUCUGGUUAGCAAAUUCGAUUUGAAACAGGGUUAGCGUUUCCAUAAUUUCUUUGAAUCACAUAUUGGUAUUAAGUAUCUUAGCAUCUUUUUUCGUUUUGCGCACAUAAUACGAGUACAAGUAAUAAGUUGGGGAUUUGCUUCAUUUCAAAACAUGCAAUAAGUCUAAUAACUAACAAUACAACAAAAAAUUACAUUACAAGACAAUUUUAGGAAUAGAUAGUCAACAGUAGUGCAACGUAGAAAUAUUGUUUGGAAAAUUAUAGUCUGUGGUAACAACCUGCAAAUGCACAAAGAAAACCAGCAUAUAAAAGAAUGAAAGAUUUCCAGUUAGACUUACAGUGUAAGAUCGCAACAUAUAAUAAACGUGUACAAAAAGUAUAUAGUAAUCACCUCUUCAUGAAGUUAAUACAGUUUAGCAUUAGGGUUACUGGUGUAGUUUUGCACCAAUUUCUAUUAAGCAUUAAUUUUAAUGCUAUGAAAUUCCCACAAGAGAAAGGCAGUUUAUUAAGCCAGAAAAGAGUUAGAAAUUAGAAAAAUAACAUCAAAACAUUUAAGAUGUCUCAUAUUAUUUACCCUUACAUGUCCCUGUCAACUAUGUUUAAAAAAUAUUUUAAUACUGUAAAAUCUUUAAGAAAGUUUUAGUAACUAUAAGCCAAUUAUGAAGAUUCUCAUAUAAAAAGCAACAUAUAUACAAAUCCUACUCAUAUCCAUAAGUUGACAUGACAUUUUGUUAGUUUACAGUCUGUAACAGAACGUUUUUUAACAUGCAAUUCUUGUUGCGAUCUGUAUAUGUUUUACGUGAAAAUCAUUUCUAUGAUUUACUUGAAUAUUCACAAGUUAUUUUGAUUGAUUUUUUUCACCAACUUUGUGGAUUAUACCAGAUAUAUAUCCAUUGUUUACAGUUUUCCAAUAUUAUAAGGAUUCAGAACAAAUCUUCUGUGUUAUUUACUUGAAUAUUCAUCAUAGGUACCAGGGUGACAUCAAAAUACAAAUUAUUUUGAUUGAUUUUUUUCACCUUCUUAGUUCCUCUUAUGAAACACAACUUUGUGGAUUAUACCAGAUAUAUAUCCAUUGUUUACAGUUUUCCAAUAUUAUAAGGAUUAACAAAUCUGUGUUCUUUUAAUUGAUGGUGAUUUUCAUUGUCAGAAGAAUAUUCAUCUUAGGUACCAGGGUGACAUCAAAAUAUCUUAUCCUAAAACAAAAUUAUAUCAAUGUAUUGCUCAGCAAGAUGAGAAUAAGAAAUAUUAUAAAACAAACUUGGACUAUUCUUAGAUUAGGUAUUGCUUCAUUCUUUUGUUUUUAGCAAUAUUAUUACAAUUAAAAGUAACAUGGGAAAGUCAAAGAGAUCUUCUCGUGUUCUUAAAAGUUUUAAAAUGAGCAGUGGGAUGUUGCAUAUAAAAUGCACUGUUUAAAAGUUCCCACAAAGUCAAAGUUCUUAGGAACAAUCACAAUAAAAAAGUAUAUGCUAAGCGUAUAAAUUUGGCGGUGGGACGAGGUAGAAUCCUUUGACGUUUAAUUAUAUCUCAUACUGUAUACAUCGAUUUCUUAGAGAACAGAAAGAAUUAAUAACUUUUAGUGUCUACCUGCUUAGCAGGGACACAUGGAUGAGUGCUUAUGGUUUCAAGGACUGACAGCAUUCAAAGAUUACCUUUUCUGAUUUGAUGUUUAGGGGAGGGAAAGGGGAUCUGCAGAUCUAUUAACAUUUAGCUUGGACUUUUGCGUUCAUGAAAGAGCUGUCCCUUAGUUAUCUUACAAGAAUGUAUUCUCUCCCAAACAGAAACAAAGAUACACAGUUGCAUAAACGGCUACACGAAGCCUACACGAAGCCAGUGACCCUUAAGACGUUAAAGAAAAAAAACUAACAAAAUUCCAACUAAUACACAUACAGGUAGCUAGUAAUACUCUAUACCGAAUUUAACAUACACAUCAAAACAUCUUUCGACCGCCAAGACAGUGUUUACAUAAAUUGCCUCCGUUAGCUAUCUCGUUUGGCAUUGGGCUUUUAUGUUUUUAAACAAUGCAUUUGAUCAAGGCCAAGUUAAAACCUUUUGUUUUGAUAAGAAAAAGAUUUAAAUUACACGUUUUGUAAGAACAUCUGGUGGUUUACCACUUUUAAGAAUAGUUCUUGACACAAAAGUGCCUAAAAUUCAGGAGCAGCUAAAACUAAAAUAUUUCAAGUAUUACUGAAUUUAUUGUCUCUUGCAGAGGAAGAUAAAGGUUUGGUUUGAGACAACAACACGGCACACGUGGCCAAAAAUACUUCUCUCCAGCAUUUCCAAUCCUUUCAAUGUCUGAAAAGGUUUCCAAAUUCAAAACUUCUUUAUUUAACUUAGGUGGCAUACAAUUGCUUUAAUAUUCUAGACAUUUGAAGUGCUCCCUGCAAUUGGACCUGAUCCAGGUAAACCAUGUUGAAAAAGAAACAUCCACUCCAUGUAACCGUACCCGUGGUCGUUUUAGGCGUUUAAACUUUAAAACCCACGGACGUUUUAGGCGUUUUUUCUUCACAUUCCAGAAUUUCAUUCAUUGGAACUUGAAAACCCGCGGACGUUUUAGGCGUUUUUUCUUCCAUCUGUGAUUUUCAUUCAUUCGGAACUUUAAAACCCGCGGACGUUUUAGGCGAAUAGACAUUUUGCCUAAGAUCGCCCCGGGUUUGCUUAUUUGAGUAAAAUAAAACACGCACGCCGCGCAUCGUCAUAGUCGAAAUCGGCGGAUGCCAAAAAUAAAUUGAUAAAAAUAAUUUAGUUUUUUUUUAGAUUAUUCUAUCUAUAGAGAAUUUUUUUUCUAGUUCACAAAACUAGGCUUAGGCAAUUGCCUAGGCUGCCUAACCCUAGAUCCGCCCCUGGUACCUGCUACACAUAAAAAUAGUAACGAAUUGUAACGUUACGUUGAUUUUUAAUGCUUUUAAAAACUAAAUUUCAGCUAGCUUGCCCUCUGUCCUGAUCUUCAGAUACUUAGAUUAACUACAGUUUUUUUCCUAUGGACGCAAGGGCAAAAAAUGUUUCGUCCUUAAGAAGAAUGUGAAUGCCACAGCUUUUGAUUUUUUUGCAUGUUGGACAUUUUAUUACAAUUUCAAUUUCUGUCUUAAUUGAGGUGGUUAACCUCAACGAAAAUGUGGACAUUUUUAUUUGAAAAACGAAUCAAGUAAGAUGCCAAAUGUCCAAAUUUGUUACCACUUAAAUAUGUCGUCAAUACUUUAGGUUAAAUAAAUUUGUUUUGAUAACAAAAAAAAUGGUUAAAAGUUGUUUUCCUUAUAAGACCUAUAACAAGUUUUUAAUUUGAUUCUCAAUUUAAUAUCCUUUAAAAAAAGUAUUAAUCGUUCUCAAGAAGGCUACUAAGUGUGAAUCAUAUCAUCGUAACUUAAUGGAAAAGAAAUAUUGUGACUAAGCAGAAUUUUUUUAAGCCUAACCAACUUUUGACUGAGUCAGUAAAGGUUGUUCCUGACACAUAAAAUAAAUAUGUCUAAUAAUGAUUUACAAGGUCCUGAAUUCUGUGGAACACAAUUAGCAAACAGGAUUGACGUAAUCAAUGAAAAAGCUGAAGUUGAGAUAUAUGGUCAUCCAAAACCCAAAGUAAUUUUUUAUACACACAAACAUCAAAAACUUCCUGGUGCGUGUGAGUUAACAGAAGAAAGACUUAAGAAGUACAAAUGCGAAGUGGAAUUGACAAAUUUCAAAUGCGGAGAAAUGCUGUAUUUGCAAAGUCGCGGUUACGACGAUAUAAAACUAAUUUCUUUAUCCCUGUUAAUUGGCAACUGUGAGUGCUUAAUUACCAAGUCUCUGGUACUCAUCAUUACUAAUUGUAAAGUGAACUAAUUGUUGAAAAUUUCGGCCUCAUGGGAAAAUAUAAUAACUGUUCUACAUGUUAAUGCCUAAAGUAUACAAUAAAAUUUUCUCUCGGGUACUGACUAACACUGAGUGAAAUGUACAACGUAUUUGCACAUUUCUUAUUUGGUGUUUUGAAAAAAAUUGACUAAAUCUCUUAGAAAAUAUAAUGCAAAAAAUUAUAACACCGAAGGAACCAUAAAGAAUCAAAUUAUUUUAAUUAUUCUACAGCAAUAAUUUUUAGAUACCCCGCAGAAUGUAAGUUAUAAAGCAGAUUCUAAUGGAUGCUACACACUUAAAUGGUCUAUCCAUCAUCUUGGUAUGGAAUGUGUUAAGAAGUACUAAUUGAAAGGGUUUCUUUCAGAAAAAUUGUAGCCAAAAAGUUCGACAAUAGUAACAACACCAACGAAUUACUUUAUGUGCAACAUUUCGAUACAGUAUGUGACAGUUAGAGCUGUAUCUCUAUGGAACGAUACAAGUAAUUGGGCUUUACAAAAGAUAAAAGACAAAAGUGGUGUGCACCCAAAACGUAGGUUUUUUUCUUUAUUUCUCAGUUUUCACUGUUUUACAGAAUGAAGCGAAAAAAAAAUGUAUUUAAUAAUAUUCUUUCAUAGAGGAAUAUGAUAUCAGGAUUGCCUAAAGCAUCAAUGUCAUGUUAUUUUUUUGUCCUGUCGUCUUAAAAAAAAUAAUAAAAAAAAAAAAUAAUAAAAAAAGUUUAAAAAAAAUUAUGUUUGAACCUUUCACUAUGUUGAAUUAAUUUGUGUUCGAGUAACAACAUGCAAAUAUGUUAUGCUAACAGAGACAUCUUUUAUCGAAAGAAUCCAAUGUCUGACACAAAACACAGUUCCACUCACUUCGUCUGCUUACAUAUAAUUAAAUGAAUAGUCUUAUCACAAAUUCCAAGAAGUGCAUUUUGCAAGAAUUGAUGAAGGUUGAAUUGUUUAUAGAUACGCCGCUAAAUUUAAGUUACAAAGUAAAUUGCAAUGGAUGCUACAUAGUUACAUGGUCCAUCCACCGGUUUUGGAUAGGAUGUGUUAGAAUGUACGAAUUGAAAACGCUUCUUGACGAUGAAUCAUUGUUAAAAAACACGACAACAGUAACAAUCAUUUUGUUUCAUUUUGAGUCGAACAAUCAUUUUAUGUGCUAUCCAUCAAUACGAUAUAUUAAAGUUAGAACAGUAUCUAUAUGACAUGAUAAAAGUAAAUGGGUUAUGCAAGAAAUAAAUGCUGAGCGUGUUGCACAACGAAAAGGUUAGGCAUCUAUUUUUUCAACGUUGGAUGUAAUAUUUGUGCAAAUGAUCGUGUAUCUUUUUGUUUUGUUUUUGAUUUUUCUCAAAAUGGGAAAAAAGAAUUACUUUGCCAAUGCUCAGCAACAAUUUGGACGCGAAAUCAUCUGUUUUUACUGAUGUUUACGAACACACAAUGAGAAUAUACACUUUCUAUAAUUCUUGCAUUAUGAAAAAUUCGCGCAAUGGCCUGAGAAAGCUCUGAAAAUAGAGAGAAUGGAACGUCUUGAUGUGUGUAAAAUAUAUUACCGUUUUAGAUUUUGGAUCUAAGAAACUGAUUUAAGUUCGCUAAACUCUCUAAUUCUAUAUACCUGCUAAUACCACAAUUUUAGGUAACAACAGCAUUUUAAAUUCCCUAUAGUAACGAUCCUUGUUUACGUUAUAUUAUGUCUCGGUGUUGUAGUUUAAUAUAAGGAUUUUCUAGGGUAUAAAAAUUAUAAAUUGUGUCUUUAUGCUUUCUAAUUACAAGACAUUUUCUAUUUAUGUCGCUAGGUAUUUCGAUUAUGAUGGUGUGAACACUCUUUUUUACCCUGUUUUAGGAAAGACAUUGGGUCUUUAUUUAUAGGUAACACUUACGUUUUUAUAUGCGGUAAUGUAUCAAGCAAAAGUCCAUCCAGCUUCUACUGCCAAAACAAAAAAGAGAAAAAAACAAAAUAAAUAAGAAAUAAACAAAAUUGUUGAUUAAAAGAAAGAAGUUGUCCAAAAGGAGUGAGUAAUGCGUAUAGUAUAAUCGAUAUUUAAUUUUUGUGGUUUUGUAUUUUUUACAAACGGGGGCUGGUCUAAAAAACCUUUUGUUAAUUUUUUUCAAAUGGCGUUUAUCUUAUUAUUAGUGAUCACUAACACAUUUACACAAUUUGCGAUGAUUAGUUUGAUGUGGCAAUUACGUUUUUGUUCUUCCUAUGGUAGACAUGUAUCAGAUAGUUAUUUUCCCAAAAAUGGAAAAACAUUACGUUACAGUACAAUACAAAAACUAAAAAUGGACUGUUCAAAAUCCAAUCUCCAUUUACUUUCCUCCAAUGUAAAAAGAGGCACCAUGUGCACAGCUUACAGAGUUAAUUAAUAGUUUUAAAAAACAGAAACAAAUAAAACGGAAUACACAAUACUACUCAGCCGGUGUUUUAAAGUUGUUACAGGCUGACGCCAAGGAAAUUAAACACCCUUACGCUACCCCUUACGCUGCUACAACUCUAAUCAAAAGACCAGAGUCUACGGUGACAAUUCAUCAUGCGAACUUUAAAAAAUUUGGAUUGUUUAUGUUUUGUAUAUGAAAUUCGUAAGGGGAGAAACGCAUUGCGGGAGACAACUUUCUGGUAUAGCUUUUAAAAUAAACUUGGAUGUGUACAUAAUUAAAAACAAAGAAAGAUUUUAUGCGCUUUUCAGUGUGUUACUAGCAUAAUGAGGUUCCUAUCGGUUUCUUUGGUUGGCUACACUUUUAUUUUGAACUUUCUGUUUAAUAAAAUUAUACAUUUAUUCUUCCACCACCACAAAUGUGCUUAUUAUUUUCUUCUUUAUUCAGAUUUUAGUAAUAAGCAUCAACUACCAUGGCAAAAUGCUGGAGAUGGGAAUGAUGACGGUUAUGAAAUGGCAGGAGUAACAUCGUCUUAUUAUGCAGAUCUUAAUCCUUAAUUUAUAACACCAAGCAUCUAUGCUGUUAAUUAACAAACGGCAAAACAGCAAAAGCAGCAUCGUUUAAUUAUGCGGAACUUAAUGUUCAAACAAGAAAACCAAGUUUUAUUCUGAUUCGACAACAACGUUUUGAACAAUAUUGCAAGAAGUACUUAUGCGUAACUGCAAAACUCAGUCCUCCUGCAACGUAGCAUUUUCGCUUUAUUGAAAGUUUAUCUGCAUUUUAAUUUUGUUUUUAGACGUACUUUAUUUCCUUCAGCACCAUCCUCUUCAUAUUAUUCUGUACUCAGCCUUUUUUUCAUUGUUUAUCAUGCAUCUCUCGUGUCUAAAUUUGAACCUUUAUAACAAUUUGAUACCUAUUUUUGAUAAAUAAUGUAUAUCAUUUUGCGCAUAUAGAAUUAAUUAUAUUGGUGACUAUAUAAAUAGUUGUGUACAUAUCGAUAGUUUAUGGCGACAAAAGAAAUGCGGAUUUUCUCAA